rnacentral:rRNA from 1 species
GUGUCAGCAGCCGCGGUAAAACGUAGGAGGCGAGCGUUAUCCGGAUUUACUGGGUGUAAAGCGCGUGCAGGCGGUUGGCUAAGUUGGGUGUGAAAGCUCCUGGCUCAACUGGGAGAGGUCGCUCAAGACUGGCCGACUGGAGAGCAGUAAGGGAAGGUGGAAUUCCGGGUGUAGUGGUGAAAUGCGUAGAUAUCCGGAGGAACACCAGUGGCGAAGGCGGCCUUCUGGACUGCUUCUGACGCUCAGACGCGAAAGCUAGGGGAGCAAACGGGAUUAGAUACCCCGGUAGUCC